rnacentral:rRNA from 1 species
AUUGAACGCUGGCAGCAGGCUUAACACAUGCAAGUCGAGCGGAGAUGAGGUGCUUGCACCUUAUCUUAGCGGCGGACGGGUGAGUAAUGCUUAGGAAUCUGCCUAUUAGUGGGGGACAACAUUCCGAAAGGAAUGCUAAUACCGCAUACGCCCUACGGGGGAAAGCAGGGGAUCUUCGGACCUUGCGCUAAUAGAUGAGCCUAAGUCGGAUUAGCUAGUUGGUGGGGUAAAGGCCUACCAAGGCGACGAUCUGUAGCGGGUCUGAGAGGAUGAUCCGCCACACUGGGACUGAGACACGGCCCAGACUCCUACGGGAGGCAGCAGUGGGGAAUAUUGGACAAUGGGCGGAAGCCUGAUCCAGCCAUGCCGCGUGUGUGAAGAAGGCCUUUUGGUUGUAAAGCACUUUAAGCGAGGAGGAGGCUACCUGGAUUAAUACUCUAGGAUAGUGGACGUUACUCGCAGAAUAAGCACCGGCUAACUCUGUGCCAGCAGCCGCCGCGGUA